CAGACUACAGGAACUAUGAAUUGGAAGCUCAUCAAAUGUUCCACUCCUGCUAGUUUCUAAGAGCUGCAUUCCAGAAAGGAGUAGUACCUAUUUUAAAAGAAAUGUGCAAGUACAAGCAUUAUGAAGUGAAAUUCUACGAACUGCAGGCAAUUUAACUUUCAUUGUAUUAAUUGAAGACAAGAUUGAUCAUUAUUUUCAAAAUCAAACAAAGUUUCACCAAGAUGCCUUUCGUAAUAGUUCCUGAAUACGUUUGACCAGUUGUGCGUUGGGCGUAAAAACCAUCAAUCAAAAUGCAGGAACUCACCCAUUUAUUGAAGAAAGAAACGAAGCCAUAUCCUUUUGAUUUUCCUGUUGCCAUGUCCUUAACAACUCGGGCAUCCCUGGAAAGGAAAGAGAAAGCCAGUUAAGCAUCAACUGAACAGAAUCCAAGUAAAAAAUGUCUCACACGCA